AUAAGAGCAAAAAAGAUGGAUAUAGAAGCACCAUACCAAACAUAAAUUUGAAUUUGGUUAGGAAGAAUGCAUAACUUUGUCUGAUAAGAACUUUUUUGAUCGGCUUUAGGGUUGUCAUAAGGAUAGUUCAAUGAGAGAAGUUGAUAUCCCGGAUAUAGUAUGCCGCUGGUCAUAGAAAAUGCCUUCACAUUAUAUUCCGUGGUGGCUGCUUCUCGAGUAUCCACCUGGUAAUUAUGCACAACUUCGCAAUAAUCGUGAUCGUCUCCAGCAAAUGCGGCAAUUGGUUCAACAGCUUUUAAAAUAGACUCGGAAAGUUCUGGCAAAAGCAAGUUUUGAUACUGAUAUCCCAAACCAUAUUUGAUAACAUCAUCUUUUUCACGAAGCUCCCCGCAAGAAUUGAUGGCAGGGCGAAACAAAGGAACGUGAGAUAGAAGGAUCCUAGGUCUCGAGUUGUCCUUAUUUGUUUCAAAGCUUUUUAAGAAGUCUCUAGCCGGUUGAUAAACUUGGGGAUUGACGUUGUUUGAUAAACGAAUUCCAUCUACAAUAACCAGUGUAUGAUUGCCAACGUCUAUUGAUCGAGAUGUUGGACCAAAAAGAGAUUCAAAUCUUUGAAUAUCCUUAACAAUAGCGUGAUUACCAAAUCCAAUAUCAUGAUUGCCAGGGUAGAUUUCCAAUUUAUUGGUGAAUUUUGGGUCAAGGACGUUCAUCAUUCUGAAAUAAUCUUUUUUAAAUUCUUCAGUUGCGAAUUCUCUACCUGUGUCCAUCAAAUCGCCCAUUAUGAAAGUAAUAUCUGGCUUCAGUGAUUUAUGAAGAUAACGCCAAUGCCGACGAAGAAACUGGUCGGAAAUCCAUUUAACGAUUCCAAUUAAAGGUCGAGGAUAAUCAUAAGUCAAAUCGUCAACUAAUUGAGGAUCCGCAACCAAUGCAAUCCUUACUGGAUUCCCAGUACUCUCCCAUUGCUCCCAAGACCGCCAAUCGCACUUUUUAUGUGGCCUUGUAUGAAUAAUUUUCUCGAGAUAAAGAACAUAAAAACAAAAAGCAAUUAUGACUAAAAAACGACCUACUUUCAUCUUCAGUUAUUCUUUUCUUCUAUUAAAAAUGCACGCUCUAAGAAAGUAAGAAUAGUAAAUCGAGAUAGUAUGCCAAGUAUAUACACUACGUUCUAAUUUAUCGAUGCAGAAUAAAGGUCGAGUAAUUUCAAAGCAAUCUAAUGAAACUCCACGUUUACAAUAAAACCGAAAUGUUGGAGAAAUGACACUAGACCCUAAUGAUUAGUUAAAUUUAUUAUUCCUGUUCUUAGUAUGACUUUGAAACAGGUGUAUUUUUCUUCUAGAUAAACCUUGUUAGUAAAGACUUCAAAAAUUGUGAAGUUUGGAAAACUGAAGGACCUUUGGCUCAAGAAGCGACUGGCCUCAUGUAGAGAAUCUUAAUAUGAAGCUUUGCGGUGCUCAAUUUCUUGAUUGAAUACCCACUAUUUUCACUCAACAAGUAAUAUUCACCUUCUAAUUGAUUUAAUUUAUAAACUGACUCAUUAAUUGCUUUGUAUUUAGGUCGAUAUUGAACAAUCUUCAGAAGCACGUAGCUAGAGAGGAUAAGUUCUAAAUGUCGCCUAAUCAGAGAAAGGUACAAUCUUAUUUUAAAUUACUCAUAUAGAAAACUAUUAAGGUCCAGAAUUCAUAUAGACGAAUACAUUCUAUAGUUUAAUUUUAUCAUAAAAGUGACUUUUCGUGAUACUUCGGCCUUACUAAUUACUAGUUUAAAUAUGUAACGUAAUAUCUAUUUUGACAAUGACUAGAUAUUUAAUCAAUAUAAAAAUUCCAAGAAACUGAAAAAUUCCAGUAUUUCUCUUAUAGUAAAAAGCACCCAAAAACGAGAGAAACAGGUUAACUAUAGUCAAAAGCCAAUGAGUAAGAUAUUUCGUUAACAUACUUCAAGAAUCAAGACUUGAAAGCAAUGCUCCGUGAAAUUGAACAUCUGAAAAAUUCAAGAAAA